rnacentral:rRNA from 1 species
GAUGAACGCUGGCGGCGUGCCUAAUACAUGCAAGUCGAGCGAACGGACGAGAAGCUUGCUUCUCUGAUGUUAGCGGCGGACGGGUGAGUAACACGUGGAUAACCUACCUAUAAGACUGGGAUAACUUCGGGAAACCGGAGCUAAUACCGGAUAAUAUUUUGAACCGCAUGGUUCAAAAGUGAAAGACGGCCUUGCUGUAACUUAUAGAUGGAUCCGCGCUGCAUUAGCUAGUUGGUAAGGUAACGGCUUACCAAGGCAACGAUGCAUAGCCGACCUGAGAGGGUGAUCGGCCACACUGGGACUGAGACACGGUCCAGACCCCUACGGGAGGCAGCAGUAGGGAAUCUUCCGCAAUGGGCGAAAGCCUGACGGAGCAACGCCGCGUGAGUGAUGAAGGUCUUCGGAUCGUAAAACUCUGUUAUUAGGGAAGAACAUAUGUGUAAGUAACUGUGCACAUCUUGACGGUACCUAAUCAGAAAGCCACGGCUAACUACGUGCCAGCAGCCGCGGUAAUACGUAGGUGGCAAGCGUUAUCCGGAAUUAUUGGGCGUAAAGCGCGCGUAGGCGGUUUUUUAAGUCUGAUGUGAAAGCCCACGGCUCAACCGUGGAGGGUCAUUGGAAACUGGAAAACUUGAGUGCAGAAGAGGAAAGUGGAAUUCCAUGUGUAGCGGUGAAAUGCGCAGAGAUAUGGAGGAACACCAGUGGCGAAGGCGACUUUCUGGUCUGUAACUGACGCUGAUGUGCGAAAGCGUGGGGAUCAAACAGGAUUAGAUACCCUGGUAGUCCACGCCGUAAACGAUGAGUGCUAAGUGUUAGGGGGUUUCCGCCCCUUAGUGCUGCAGCUAACGCAUUAAGCACUCCGCCUGGGGAGUACGACCGCAAGGUUGAAACUCAAAGGAAUUGACGGGGACCCGCACAAGCGGUGGAGCAUGUGGUUUAAUUCGAAGCAACGCGAAGAACCUUACCAAAUCUUGACAUCCUUUGACAACUCUAGAGAUAGAGCCUUCCCCUUCGGGGGACAAAGUGACAGGUGGUGCAUGGUUGUCGUCAGCUCGUGUCGUGAGAUGUUGGGUUAAGUCCCGCAACGAGCGCAACCCUUAAGCUUAGUUGCCAUCAUUAAGUUGGGCACUCUAAGUUGACUGCCGGUGACAAACCGGAGGAAGGUGGGGAUGACGUCAAAUCAUCAUGCCCCUUAUGAUUUGGGCUACACACGUGCUACAAUGGACAAUACAAAGGGCAGCGAAACCGCGAGGUCAAGCAAAUCCCAUAAAGUUGUUCUCAGUUCGGAUUGUAGUCUGCAACUCGACUACAUGAAGCUGGAAUCGCUAGUAAUCGUAGAUCAGCAUGCUACGGUGAAUACGUUCCCGGGUCU